GAUUGAAGUCAGUCGUACCGACGAGAAAUCAACUCAUCGAAUGGGCAAUUGCGGGCGUAUGAGAAGUCUCAUUGUUUGCGAAUGCAUGUUCUUUGGGUGUACUUUUUCGUAUGGUAGGUUAACGUCGGUUUCGAUUACUAUAAAAUGAUCGGAGGAAUGUAGCUUCGAUUUCGGUUGAAGUGUUAUAGCCUUUGGUAGAUGUAGUGAUUGAGACCGAGGAUUGCAACGAAUACCCUUUUGGGCUAUCCGUCUGACCUUACUGAUAGUUGCUUAGGUGCCGAAAGCGUGCUUAUGGCUAUUUAAGCCUGC
rnacentral:rRNA from 1 species